UUAUGGAAAAGGCAAAGCUAUAGGGAUGGAGAACUGAAGUGGUCGCCAGGGUUACAGGGUCGAUGGAGUAUUUGAAUACAAAGGGUUUGAAUACAAAGCAGUUAUGCAUUGAUGGAGCUGUUCUGUGUCCUGAUUGUGAUGAUGGUUACACUGCUCUAGACAUUUGUCAAAUUUCAUAAAACCGCACAUAAAAAAGUAUACUUUAAUGUAUGUAUGUCAAAAGUAAAUUUGCAAAAAUCAGGCACUGUCUGCAAUGCCUGCUCUUUACUUUUCCCAGCAUGUCAAAGAGACGUGGUUUAACCGAAGUCCUCCACAAGCUAAACAGAGUGAAUGAUGUUGCAUGAUGGCAACCAUGGCAGCCAGUGUUUGGCCCUCCACCCACGCUGUUGUGGAGGAACAUAGACUGCUUGCUUUGUUUCCAUCCUCCUCCUUUUCUGAGCUGUGUUCUCUUCUCCUGUAAAUAAGGUGUGACGUCGCCCACGAGAGGACAUGGGAGCACAGUAAUUUGCAUACUCUAAUUAAACUGCUGUAUCAUGAGCUUGCUUUCUUUGGUUAUAUUAGAAUAAGAACAAAGGUGCACCUCUAACUCAGAGUUUGGAGUGUUAUCCCUGGGAACUGGAAUGAAUAAAACAGUCCAGGAAGGCUUGCGUGCCUUGCAACUUUAAUGCAGCUGUCUGCCACCCUGCUUUAGGGCAGAGCACCCAGCGUCACAGUCCUUAGUGGACUGUCCUUUAUCUCAGGUAAGUGGGGCCUUUCCGGUCAAAUCUCCUCCCGACAGGUGUGCGGGGAAAGAUGAGAGGCUGGCCCAUGGGUGAAUGAUUGCUUCUCAUCCAUGGAAUUCAUUUUCGUAUUUGAAAUGCUGCAUAAUCUGGUGGAUAGAGCACUGAAUUGGAAAUCCAGGAUACGUGGACUUUGUAAAGACUUUCCUUUCGACACUCGGUUCUAACCCCAGGGUGAUCCAGCAGUUGCGUCUUGCUGUCCUCCAGCACUCACGUGGAAGGCAUCAACACUGAGCAGCCACACCUCAUCCUCCAAUCCUAGCUGGUUCUUGAGCUAGAGAGAAUCGAGACUCCUUGGAGAUCCAUGGAUUCCAUGUCUUGGGAUGGAAAAAAGUUUGCAUGGAUUUUCAGUUACAUUGACUGCCAGAAGACAAGAAAACUUUAAAAAAUAUCUAGGGUCAUACUGAAAAGACAAAAGAGAUAGUUUUUAAAAACUUCUGCUUGCCAAGUUAUAACAGUUUGAAUAUCAAAACAGAAUAUUAACCAUAGCUAGUUGGAAUGAAUUGAAUCUAUAUGAAGGUUAUGACAUUCCAAGACAAAAUAAGUUCAUUAAAGAUGAUAAUUAUGAUACAAAAGAAGAAUGAAUACAAUUUUUAAGUUAACCAAAAUUAGUAGGGGACUAUUGACAUAUAUGAUGUUCUGUUUUUCAGAUGCAUGUGUGUAUUUUUUUACCUACCUCUGUGCAUAAUAGAGAGGGAUAGGCAAAAUAGUUCUUAAAGGGGAUGGGAAUUGCACAAAGAGCAGAAGGGCCUAUAACCUCAAUGGACCAUGGACAAGAACUAGGUGGAAAGCAUGGCAGUGGGUUGCCAUAUGAUGGAUUGUUCAAAAUUUAGAAAGAAGAGCUGAUAGUUCAACUUAGCCCCUUGUCUCCUAGAAAAUGAAACCUCUAGAUGACUCAACUGAUUUUACUGAGAUGUAAAAACUAUAUAAUGAGUUAAAUUGUAAAUCAAGGCUACACAUCCUCCAUUAGUUUGCUAGGGCUGUUGUAACACAGCACCACAGACUUAAACAGAAAUUUAUUUUCUCACAGUCUAGAAGCUAAAAGUCUGAGAUCAAGGUGUCAGCAGUUUCUUUCUGAAGGCUGAGAGGGAGAAUCUGUUUCCUGGCCUUUCCACUCGGCUUAUAGAUACCAUCUUCUCCCUGUGUCUUCACAUUAUCUUCCCUCUGUAUGUGUCUAUGUCCCAAUUUCCUCUUCUUGUACAGACACCAGUCAUAGUGGAUUAGGGUGCACCAUAAUGACCUCACUUUCAUUUAAUUACCUCUUUAAAGAUUCUGACUCCAAAUACAGUUAUAUUCUGAGGAACUAUGGGUUAGGACUUCAAGCUAUGAAUCUUUGGGAGGACAGAAUUCAGCCUAUAACAUGUCCUAUGACAUGGAUGUGAUGAAAGAAGACAGCAGAGACACCAAGUUGCAGGAAAAGGCAUGGCUGUGGAUGGUCUCAUUGACACAAUGAGUCAAUCUUGAUUCUAAGAGGAGCCCAGGUAAGAAAUAGCUGCUAGAGUUUUAUUCACUUUGGAAGUCCCAACAAUGUCAGCUGUUCUACCAUAAUCUUUUUGUUUGAUAGGUCACUGUAACCUGGGAAGAUGCAUUAAAAUAUAUUAAAGUAUGUAAAUAAUGAAGAAAUUAACUAAGUCUAUAGGAUCACUAACUUUCUCACAGAUGAUGUCAAGGUUCAUGUGGAAGAUGGGCUCAUACAUCCAUGCAGAGUCAUCUGAGUCUGCACUGGUAUUAGCCAAUGACUAGUCUGGUAUGCACUCUGAACCGAAGACUGCCCUGGGGUCAGCAUCUGGACUGCCAUGACUGGAGUUCAAGGUCCUGGCUUUUCUACUGAGGGACCAGAGUUCUCACACACUGUGUCCUCUUUCAAGUCAUGACUCUGGUAAGCCAUCAGCACUCUCAGUAAUAUUCCAUCCCCUCCUUAUACCAGUGGUGAAAUUCUAGACCCCUAUAACUUUCUCCCAGGCCUUGGAGAGUCAGUGAUGCUUUCUCAGGCCCACAGUCCUGCUUUCUCCCUCUACCAAUAGUUCAACCUCACUUCUGUCCGUGCUGAAUGUGGCCACAUGAAGUAUUUCUCCUGUGGGCUGACAGCUUUCUGAAGCUCUGCUUGGAGAAUCAUGUCAUCAGUUUCUUCCUUAUGUUUUGAGUUCCCCCAAACCUUUUUGAAUGUUUUUAAAGCCCUCACUCUUGCCCGGGCCAAACCCCAAACUGGGGAGGAAUGUGGACCACACCAUCUUAUUUUCUCAGUCUGUUUCUGCCACUGAUCUCUUUUCCAAACUUUGCUGGGGCCGGAAGAGGAAUAUUUCAACAUUCAAUAUAUCGUACCCUGAGUUGUCUCUACCUCAGUCGUGUGGAAAGUAGGCCAAGCUUGGAUCUUGAUCUCCAUUGAACCUAUAGGAACUGAGAAAGUUAUAUUUCCUUUAGUAAGGUUCCGUUACAGACAGUCUGUAUCAGAACUCAAAGUUAAUUGAUUUUUGUUCCAGGCAGGACUCUGGGUUCAGUCUUGGAGGUGGGAGCCUGCAAAUGGGCAUUAUUCAGGGAAAAGUGACAAUUCCUUAUCUCUCUUACAGUCCCUAUGGUUCUUUGCAAGGUGGAAAGACCCUUGCUCUCCCACCCACCUCUGGCUGCUCUAUGCUCCAACACUCCUUGCUUACUUUCUUCAAACACCUCCUGCCUGCUGCCUUUGCAUUUAUUAUUCCUUCUUUCAAUGAUCUUUUUCACUUCACUCUUAUGCUUUCUUAUCCUUCAGAUUUCUACUCCAGUUGCCUUCUUCCAGAAGACCUCCCUGGUCACCAUCUGUACUUAUCUUAGAUUUCUCUCUUUAGCUCUAUAUGUUGUCCACUUCCCCUCAGCAUGUAAAUUCCAUCAUAGUACGGCCCUUUCUGUUUGGCUCAUUUUGGUAUCUUCAGUGCUUAGCACCUAGUAGGUACACAUAAAUUUUAUUGCAAAAAUGAAAGUUAUCCUUUUUGUCUACACUCACAUCCAUAAAUGUUAUGUCAACUAUAUCAAUAAUUGUAUUGUAGCUGCCGUGAAUGGGACCCUUGCUAUGUGCUAACAUCACACAGUUGUUUACUUAAAUUUUUUGUAACCUUUGAAGUAGCCUGUUACAUCUUGCAAACAGAGAAAACAGCACCCAGAUGAGUUAAUUUUGCCUGAGGUCACUCAGAAGAAAUGUUAGUAAGUGGUAGAGCUGAGAAUAGACCCAGAUAUGUCAAUCUUAAAGUUUUCUAUUAUACUACUCUGUCUUUUAAAUAACAAAAAUAGUGUUUUAGUUUUACAAGGUGCUUUGGUGUAUUUUGGGAAAUAUAAGGUGAACUGAAAAGAACUCUUGAUUUGUUGUCAGAAUACAUGGAUCUAAACCAGGGUUUAUCAACCCUGGCACUAGUAACAGUUUUGUCUGGACAAUUCUUUGCUGUGGGGAGUUAAGUUUGUGCCUUUCAGGAUGUUUAGCAGCAUCUCUGACCUAUGCCCACUAGAGGCCUAUAGUGUACUUACCCCAUUGUGACAAUCUCCAGUCUCCAAACAUUGCCAACCGUCCUCUGGAGGCAAAAUUAUCCUUGAUCAAGAACCAGUGUGUUUUUUUUUUUUUUAAAGAUUGGUGCCUAAGCUAACAUCAGUUGCCAAUCUUCUUUUUUCUUCUUAUUCUUCUCCCCAAAGCACCCCCAGCACAUAGUUGCAUAUUCUAGUUGUGAGUGCCUCUGGUUGUGUCAUGUGGGAUGCCACCUCAGCAUGGCCUGAUGAGCGGUGCCAUGUCCAUGCCCAGGAUCCGAACCAGCAAAACUUAGGCCACCUAAGCAGAGUUCGUGAACUUAAUCACUUAGCCACCGGGCUAGCCCAGAGAACCAAUGGUUUAAAGUGAUACUUAGUCAUUUGUGAGAUCUGGGUCAGUUCAUUUCAUUUCUCUGAGUUCAGUCAUCUCCACUGCAGAGCAGGAAUUACAACAUUUGCCACCUGUACUCCAAACCUCAUCAGGUCAAUGCAUGGUUCUAGUGAAAUUAAAGGAAAUCCCAGUUAUUGAGGGCCUACUCUAUAGUGCAUGCAUCACACUAAACUGCAUAUUUUCUUGCUCAGUCCACCCCACGAUCCCAUGAAUACUAGUACUAUCUCCAUUUUACAUAUGCGGAAAGUGGGGCUCAGAGAGGUAAGGUAACACGCUCAAGUUCACAGAUUCAGCAGCUGUGAGAGAGUAGAGUAAAACCUAGGUUAAUUUCAAAACAAGUACAUUAAAAAAAAAAAUGUGACGGCAUUUGGUCAACUCUAACCUACAGUUCAUUUGUAAAUUUGAUAGGUCGUUUCAUUUGCUUAUUUGGUAAACAUUAUCAUCUUGCAAUAUGACAAACAACAGCGACACAAAUUUAUCUUUUGCUCAACCAGGCAGAGUAGAAAAGAAACUGGGAAUAUUAGUACACGUCAUGAGCUGUAAAAAUUGAGUAGACAUUUCCUAAUUUCCUUUGUGACUAUGCAAAUGAACAUUCUAUAUUUACAGAAAGGAAACAACCCAUAGAUGUCAUUAAAAAAAUACCGAUAUAAUCACUGCUUUUAAAAUGAAAAGAUAACAUUUUGUUCACAUGACAGAGGAAGGCAAUGUCCAACUGUGGAAUCUAUCAAAUCAGUAUAAUUUCAUGGAGCAUCAGCACUUCAAGGUUUUAGUUUUUAAUUGCUUUUUAUGGUUUUCAGUAAUUUCACUGUUGUCAUCAUUUUUAACAUAUAUAAUUGGUGCACUCUGCAAGGUUUGAACAGGAAAAAGUGGUAUUCUUUUGGCCAGAGAGAGAGUGAGAGAGAGAGAUUACUGGCAUGGAAGGAACAGAUAGCAUGAAAUCCAUUCCAAGGAGUUAGAGGUGAGGAAGCUAUAAGGCAACAUCAUUUUUUUCUACAGGAGGAAGAGAUGUGUUCGAAAGUGUGUUGAGUCUGCUGAUGCUUGCAAGUAAUUGACCCUUUGCCCUCCUGGAGCUGGUGAUUCAGCUUCAGCCACCAUGCUGGCCUCCCUUUCCUGCCCUAGUGCCUCUAGAUGGCAGGCAGUGUCACUCUGGUGGCAGUGGUCUCAGGGAGUGCCACUCAGCCCUCCAUUUCUUCACAGGGAGGGGCUAAAAUAGACCUGAGUUCCCCUUCUCAAAGGAACCUCAUGAAGCUUAGGGUCUUUCUCCCUUCUGUGGCUUUUGAAAGCAUGAGAGGUGGGGGUGGGAAUGGACUCCCUUCCCGGGAAGGUGAUUGUAGGUCUUUCUGUGCUCCCUGGCACCGCAGCUGGGAGCAACUUGGACAUCAUAAGGAGUUCUUCUUAUGGUUUUACAUUAGAAAGAAACUGUUCCCAUCCAUGAUUUCAGUUCAGCCUGGUAUUCAAUCUUUAGUUAGUCAGGACGGGGGUAAACGUUGCUAGUUAUUUCCUAACCUGAAGCACAUUUGGAAUCCAGAAGAGAUGGUGGUGAGCCACCUUCCCCAGGUCAGUUUCCGGGGAGGAAAGUGAGGCUCUGGGAGGGAGGGGUGACUCACCGGGCCUUCUCAGCAUCAGGGAACACAGACCCAAUAGGCACACGGGAGGAGGGGCAUGCCAGAACCCUCAGCUUUCAGGGAUUUAAAAAAAAAUAUUGUCAUUUUUCUCUCCUUUUGGGCCAGAACAUUGGACCUUUCCAUUUCCUGUGACUGGUUUUGCCAGAUGCAGCAAUCGAAUGCCCUAGAGUAGAAACCGAAAUGAUACCCAGGACAGGAGCUUAGUUUCUGCUCUGCUACUUGUUAACUUUGUGAUUUUAAACCAAUGAUUUCCUUUUCUGGACCUGCAUUUCUUUACCAAAAAUAUGAAGGUAUUGCCACUGAUCAAUAGUCUCCAAACUUUUGUUUCCAGCUAUAAGAUCUACUUUUCAAGAGAAAUGUCACUGGAACUGCAAUAUAUGGGACAAGCGCAAGCAAGCAGCUCAGUUGGCAUGGUUGGCUGAGCAAAGGGCAGAGAAAUGAGCCAGCUCGGCUUCCUGCCCCGAGGAGGGGGGCUCCUCCCGACAGGGCAGGCCCCUGGCUCCUUCACAGUUUCCUGGGACUUCACCAAAGAGGGUGUGGAAAUCCCCAAGUAUUGUAGCCAUCAGGGUCUCCAACAUUCCGUAAGUCUGCUCUGUAAAUGAAAUGAGAUCAUGAAAGAGAAAGCACUGAGUAAAACUGAAAGCAUAUUGCUUUGUUACUACGAAGAUUAUGAUCUUUGGACAGAGCCAAAGGGCCCUUGUUUCUGACCUACAGAGGCACGCGGGCUGCUGGCUUCUCAUGGCUUCAGCAAGAACAAAACCCAAAGUACAGCUUCGGGAAGGCGGCUUUGUUCUCCUCUGUGAAUAUCGGGGUCUGAAAAAGGUUGAGCAACUCAGGAAAAGAGAGAGACCUAAAUGGCUUUUCUUAAUAAAGCGUUUCAUCUCCUCUGAAAUCAGAACACAGAAGCAGGGGCAGCAGGAACCCCCAUGGCUAUGGUUAGUCACCAUGCUGCCGCCCCCAAAUCCUUCUCACUGCCCAAUCAAAGAGGGAAAGACUUGCUGGAGCUGACCCACUCACUCUGGUGACCUUGGAAGGAUGAGAGAGAGAAUAACCUCCUGGGAGAGCUCGUCCCACUGGGUUCCUUGCAGUUACAGGUGGAAAUUUGUUCACUCUUUCACUGACUCACUCAUUCAUUCAUUCAUUCACUCACUCAUCCUAUCAAUUAGGAGUAGUACAUGCUAUACACAAGAGAGAACACCUGUAUGUCCUUUUUCCAGAUUCACUAGUUAGGGAAAUGCCUAUGUGCCAGGUCUUUAGAACACAGGGAUAAGCAAGAUUUCACAGGUUCUCCCAUCUCUGAAAAUCCGUGAUGGCAGCAGUCACCUCCCCUCUGAGAGGCCUGCCUUACCCUCUUGGUCUGGAUGAGAUGCCCCUCCUUGUGCUUCCGUAGCGCUUAUGCUCACUAGUGUCCAUCACAUCCCCUGCAGUGGAAGUUCUGGGAGGCAAGGCCCGGGUCUCUGCUGUCCACAGCUCUGGUCCCAGAGAGCUUAGUGUAACUCAUGGAACCUAGCAGAUGUUCAAUAAACACUGGUUGGAAGAAUUUAACACCACACUACGGUAUCUAGUUGCUUGUCUAUCUUCCUUCACCGCUCUCCAUAUGGCCCAUGAGUACCUGAAGGCUCCUGACAUCACAGUGAAAGGAAGUGAACCCAAAACAAAUUCAAAUCCAGGACUCCACCACAUCUUGCAUUGAGUAGCCUGUUUCACUUUCCUCAUAUCUAAACAUGAAAAUGAAGACAUAAUUUCCAGAUCCAGAGCUCUUAAGAAAGUUUAGAAAGAAUACCGAUAACCUGCCUAGGAGAACCCAUAGCAAACAAGGGGCAAACAGUAAUUGCUAGCUAUUAAUAGAAACUUCAAUUUGUUUAAACUUCUAAAGCUCAUUUAAUUGCUGGAAAUAUAGUCUCUUUCUCUGGAAAACUUCUGGAUGUACUUUUACCAGAUUCACCAAUUUUUACCAUUUUGCCACAUUUGUUUUAUCAUCUCUCUCUCUCUAUAUAUGUAUAAACAAACAUUUAUAGAGACACAUAGAUCUGCAUAUACAUACUUACCUGUGUGUAAAUUAUAAAUUCUAAAAUGAUUAUUUGUUUUUCUGAAUCAUUUGAAAGUUACAUACAGUCUGCCCUUUUACUUCUUAAUAUUUCAGUGUGUAACUCCUAACAAUAAGAAUAUUCUCUUAAAUAACCACAAUCUUGUUACAUUUAGGAAACUUAACAUUGUUCCAAUACUUACAUCUAAUUUACCUUCCAAUAUCCCAUGUUUGUCAAUUGUCCCAAUAGUGUCCUUUAAGCACUUACAUGUCCAGUACAGGAUCUGCUCCAUUUAGUGGCCAUGUCUGUUUACUCUCCUUUAAUCUAGAAGGUUCCUCAGUCCUUCUCACUUUCAUACCCAGACGUUUUUAAAGAAUCGAGGCCGGCUGUAGACUGUUCUUCAGUGUGGGUUUGUCUGAUGUUUCCUUGUGAUUAGAUUCAAGUUACUCAUAGGUGAUGGGGUUUCCUUCUCAAUGCAUCACGUCCAGGGGCAUGUGAUGUCCAUCCGCUCCUCUCUGCUAAGGUCAAUUUUGAUCACACCAAGUCUCAUCCCAUUUCUCCAUUGUGCAGUUACUGUUUUUCGCCUUUCAGCUAACAAGCAAUCUGUGCAGAGAGCCUUUGAGACCACGCAGAUAUUCUGCCCCUCGUCAAACUUCCCCCCAGAUUUGGCUUCCGUUGAUGAUUCUUGCACAGCUGGUCCGUAGUAGGCUGGUUGUAGCAUGGUGGUUUCACCCUGCCAUCACUCUUUCAACUUUUCUCAUAGGCUUUCUGCCACAAGGAAGACUCUCUCUGAGUAGGAAAGAUAAUCUAUCUAAGGAUAUUUAUCUCAUUGUCAGAAGGAAAUAGGGGCCUGAGGUGCUGGUGAGAGAUCGGGCUGGAGAGGGAGGUUUGUAUAUUAACCCUGGGGAAGCCUUGAGGAAGUCUGGGAACAAAGAGGAAUAAGCCUGGGAAACAUGGGGCAUAGAGCGUGAGCAGCAGAAAGAAGGUGCAAUCGCAGGAAACUCAACGGUGCAGCAAAGGAGGGCCAGACCCCAUUUGGGCCACAUUCUAAACGGUUAACUGAGGUAAGUCUCUCUACCUUGGAGUCCGCUUGUUCUUCCCUAAAACCAUGACCUCACAGCAUUUUCCCGUGUUUUAGACAGAUAUUUUCCGUAAAGUGCCAAGCACACUGCUUAACAUCAUGUAAGUGCUCAUUAAAUGCUCCCCUCUUCUUCCCUUCCCUUUGCGUUGUUCAGAGAUUGCCAUGGAAACUCACCUCUCUGCUUUCACUGAGGUCUCUUUAAAAAAUUUGCAAUUACUCUAAAAGCUUGACUUUUUUUUCAUCUGAAAUGAGAAAUUCUAAAGGUAAUAAUAUGCUACAUUCUAUGCUAAAAGUAAAUUAAAUGCAGGGUCAAAGCUGAUUUGGAACUCCCCUAGGAAGUCUCAGAGAUGCUUGCAUUUCAAAAUUGUUCUCAUUAUUUUUGGUAAAUUGAAUAUAACAAACUAAUUAUUUUGCAUAAUGAUAAUGAUAUCAUCAUUUUAUUAUUAUCACUAAAACACAAUAAUAAUAAUUGCUACUUUUAAAACAUAGUCUUUGCUAGUCACUUUUCCAGAUCUUUCCCAGUCAUUUCUUCUAAUCCUCCCAACUGCCUUGCUAUGUUUGUAUUCUUUCCAUUUUACAGAUGAAGACAUUGAGGCUCAGAGGGUGGGAUUUGCCGAAGUUCUUAUUGCUGGAAGGUGGCAAGCCAGGCAAUAAGUGUGCUCUGUCUCCAGAACGUGUAUACUUUGUAUGCCUGGUUACUUCUGGACAAUGAUUUUAAUAUGCUGAAAUUCUCCAUUCUCCUAGUGCUUCUUCUGGACUUGGCUUAGCAUAGAACAAAAUGUAGCUAAUCAUGUAACUGAGGCAGAGAUGGUUAAUUCUCACCAAAUAUUCCAUGCAUUCUCCCUCAUUUCCACUCUGCCUUGCUAUUAGGUUGAGGCCAAGUGACUCCUUCUGGACAAUGAAUCUGAAACAGAAUAACACAUGUUACUUCCAGGCUGAGGCAGUUACAAGCUGGUGUGCUUCUUUCCUCUCUCUCGCCAGGCUCAAGUGACCUUAGAAGUGACAUGUUAAGGAGGCUAUAUUAUAAGAUGAAGAGAGCUUGGAUCCCUGAGUCACUGGAUGGAGGAGCAUCCCAGGCAAACCGCGUUAGACUCAGUGUGUGGAAGAAAUCAACUUCUGCUGUGCUAAGCCGCCAUGAUCAUAAAGUUUAUUUGUUACUGCAGCACGGCCUAGCCUACCCAGACUGAAACAAUAGGGAAUCCUUUUUGGUGACCAGUCAUCAUGGGAGGUGUAAGAACCUCAUUAUUUAGGGUGCCAAGAAGGCUAGGUGACUCCACUUACCAUCAUAAAAAUGAAAAUUGAAUAGCACAGCCUCUGUAUCUGUUUUUAGGCAAACCUAUUAUUGUUCUUUUGAAAAGGGGGUGGUAUAAAGAAAAGGGAAUGCCCUCUUUUUCUUUGCUAAGAUUCAGGUUAAGCUGAAUAAAUAAAUCCUCCCCUCCAACCCAGAAGGACAGAGGAAGAAUAAUCUGCAUGAAGAGGUGGGUGCACACUUGGGAGGACAUGUUUUAAAUAUCUUUCCCACAAAAAGCAUCUGCAAACAUUAAAAUCUAAAAAAAGGAAUCAUGAAUAAUGAGAUGUGGCUUGAUUAGAGAAAAUCAUUUUUAAAUCACUGUGGUUUUCACUUUUUCUUUGCACUGGGAGGCUAGGCUUUGUCUGAAUCUUAUUAAUAAGAGAGAGAUACCAAGAUAACUAAGACUGAUAAGGAAUAAAUACAAUUUGGCUUCAUUUAGCUGCAAACAUCAUGUUUUGAAAGAUUAUUAUAAGUGACUUUCAAAUUUGCGUAAUUCUUUUAUAAGGUAAGUUUCUGUUGGACUAUAAAAAUAUUUUUCAAUUUUCCUAGAUGAGAAAAGGCAAAAGAGGUUAAUUAAAAGUCAACUCAAGACUGCUUAGGCACUUAAACAUGUAAUUUCUUGAGUUUCAAACUUAAAUAGCUCAAACUGUAAAAGAGCUGACUAUUAUGAAUCAUGCCUUUACUCUUUAAAUGUUUUUUAUUUCCUUGGUUUGAUUUAAAAUCUUAUCCUAUAAGCUUGCAGAAUCCUAGGUGUAUAAUAACUGCAUGCCCAUUUGAGUGAAUGAAUGAGUGUAAGUUUGCAAACAGAGAGAUUGCUGGGUUCAAGAGAGUCUCUUCUGAGCCCCAGAACAGUAACAGCAGUUUCUAAAAUCUUUCCUUACUUAUUCUCUCUCCACUGCCUCUCUGUCCCCUACCCGACCCUGCCUCCCUCUGUGUUGGACUAUCCAGCUGUUAUCAUCUACCAGAAUCCUACUCCUUCACGAUCCAUUUCAAAUUGUUAUUGCUCAGCGAUGCCUUUCCUGAUUGUGAUGGCCCCUGUCUCUCUUGAUUUCCUAUUACACUCUUUGGGUAACCCACUUAUCAUCUCACGGAGUUCACAUUUUCCAUUGUGUUGUUAAUUGUCUUUUUAUAUUUACCUGCCUCAUCUCUUCAUUUGUGCUGUAGAUUUCCUGGGAUGGGCCAGUGUAUCCAGUGCCCUGUAGAGCAGCCUGUUUCGGGCUUGGUAGUGGAAGGAAGCAUCGAGGCUCCCACGUCAUGCCUACAUUCAGGAUCUAUGUUCAGCUCUGCCUCCAGCAGCAGGUUACUCUUUUCAUGAAGAGGAGGAGGACAAAGCGUAUACUUCAGCCCAGCCACAACGUCAGCACAAAGCUCAAGGCCAGCUGUGGGCUCUUGGAAUAAUUGAGUGAGGCAGAGAAAUGCAGGGUCAUGAUGACAGAGAGAGAAUCUUAGCUGGGGUCUAGAAGUGAUCAAGAGACAUAUUCAGAG
rnacentral:lncRNA from 1 species